AACGAACGCUGGCGGCAUGCCUAACACAUGCAAGUCGAACGAGACCUUCGGGUCUAGUGGCGCACGGGUGCGUAACGCGUGGGAAUCUACCCUUGGGUUCGGAAUAACUCAGAGAAAUUUGAGCUAAUACCGGAUGAUGUCGCAAGACCAAAGAUUUACCGCCCAAGGAUGAGCCCGCGUAGGAUUAGCUUGUUGGUGAGGUAAAAGCUCACCAAGGCGACGAUCCUUAGCUGGUCUGAGAGGAUGAUCAGCCACACUGGGACUGAGACACGGCCCAGACUCCUACGGGAGGCAGCAGUGGGGAAUAUUGGACAAUGGGCGAAAGCCCGAUCCAGCAAUGCCGCGUGAGUGAUGAAGGCCUUAGGGUUGUAAAGCUCUUUUACCCGGGAUGAUAAUGACAGUACCGGGAGAAUAAGCCCCGGCUAACUCCGUGCCAGCAGCCGCGGUAAU
rnacentral:rRNA from 1 species